CGGAGGGUGCAAGCGUUAUCCGGAUUUACUGGGUUUAAAGGGUGCGCAGGCGGAUAUGUAAGUCAGUGGUGAAAUCUCCGGGCUUAACCCGGAAACUGACCGUUGAUACUAUAUAUCUUGAAUGCUGUGGAGGUAAGCAGAAUAUGUCAUGUAGCGGUGAAAUGCUUAGAGAUGACAUAGAAUACCUAUUGCGAAGGCAGCUUACUACGCAGAUAUUGACGCUCAUGCACGAAAGCGUGGGGAUCAAACAGGAUUAGAUACCCUGGUAGUCCACGCCCUAAACGAUGAUUACUCGACAUACGCGAUAUACAGUGUGUGUCUGAGCGAAAGCAUUAAGUAAUCCACCUGGGAAGUACGAUCGCAAGAUUG
rnacentral:rRNA from 1 species